UACAGAGACUGCAAGCGUUAUUCGGAUUCACUGGGCGUAAAGGGUGCGUAGGCGGGUCUUUUAAGUCAGGGGUGAAAUCCUGGAGCUCAACUCCAGAACUGCCUUUGAUACUGAAGAUCUUGAGUUCGGGAGAGGUGAGUGGAACUGCGAGUGUAGAGGUGAAAUUCGUAGAGAUCGUAAGGAAGACCAGUGGCGAAGGCGGGUCUCUGGACAGUUCCUGACACUGAGGCACGAAGGCCAGGGGAGCAAACGGG
rnacentral:rRNA from 1 species